rnacentral:rRNA from 1 species
GGGUCAGUAGGUUGGUCGUGCCACCGGUACGUACUGGUCUCACUGAUUCCUCCUUCCUGAAGAACCGUAAUGCCAUUAAUUUGGUGUUGCGGGGAAACAGGACUGCUACUUUGAAAAAAUUAGAGUGUUUAAAGCAAGCUAACGCUUGAAUACAUUAGCAUGGAAUAACGAAAUAGGACGAUCGAUCCUAUUUUGUUGGUUUCUAGGAUUGACGUA